CCUACGGGUGGCUGCAGUGGGGAAUAUUGCACAAUGGGCGCAAGCCUGAUGCAGCCAUGCCGCGUGUGUGAAGAAGGCCUUCGGGUUGUAAAGCACUUUCAGCGGGGAGGAAGGCGUUAAGGUUAAUAACCUUGGCGAUUGACGUUACCCGCAGAAGAAGCACCGGCUAACUCCGUGCCAGCAGCCGCGGUAAUACGGAGGGUGCAAGCGUUAAUCGGAAUUACUGGGCGUAAAGCGCACGCAGGCGGUCUGUCAAGUCGGAUGUGAAAUCCCCGGGCUCAACCUGGCAACUGCAUUCGAAACUGGCAGGCUAGAGUCUUGUAGAGGGGGGUAGAAUUCCAGGUGUAGCGGUGAAAUGCGUAGAGAUCUGGAGGAAUACCGGUGGCGAAGGCGGCCCCCUGGACAAAGACUGACGCUCAGGUGCGAAAGCGUGGGGAGCAAACAGGAUUAGAUACCCGGGUAGUC
rnacentral:rRNA from 1 species